UUAUAAUAAUAAAUAAGGUAUACAUUGAUAAAUUUCAUUGGUUUCAAGCGAGAAAAGUCUAAGGAAUUUUUUAUAGAAUUUUGUCUUGUAAUGUAGUUUUUCCCAUGAUAUUUUUUGGUUUAAAUGACAUAAGCGUAUGUAUAUUCUUAACACAUGGUUUACUAAAACUAAAACACUCUAAGUCAUUGUAUAUUAUGUUACUUUUGUUUAGCAAAAAAGCACAAGUCAUAUCAUAUG